GCAGCAGUAGGGAUCUUCCACAAUGGACGAAAGUCUGAUGGAGCAACGCCGCGUGAGUGAAGAAGGUUUUCGGAUCGUAAAACUCUGUUGUUGGAGAAGAACGUAUUUGAUAGUAACUGAUCAGGUAGUGACGGUAUCCAACCAGAAAGCCACGGCUAACUACGUGCCAGCAGCCGCGGUAAUACGUAGGUGGCAAGCGUUGUCCGGAUUUAUUGGGCGUAAAGCGAGCGCAGGCGGUUUCUUAAGUCUGAUGUGAAAGCCUUCGGCUCAACCGAAGAAGUGCAUCGGAAACUGGGAAACUUGAGUGCAGAAGAGGACAGUGGAACUCCAUGUGUAGCGGUGAAAUGCGUAGAUAUAUGGAAGAACACCAGUGGCGAAGGCGGCUGUCUGGUCUGUAACUGACGCUGAGGCUCGAAAGCAUGGGUAGCAAACAGGAUUAGAUACCCUGGUAGUCCAUGCCGUAAACGAUGAGUGCUAGGUGUUGGAGGGUUUCCGCCCUUCAGUGCCGCAGCUAACGCAUUAAGCACUCCGCCUGGGGAGUACGACCGCAAGGUUGAAACUCAAAGGAAUUGACGGGGCCCCCCC
rnacentral:rRNA from 1 species